rnacentral:sRNA from 1 species
AAGUCGUAACAAGGUCUCCGUAGGUGAACCUGCGGAGGGAUCAUUACCCAAAUAUGAAACGCAGACUGGGCACCCUCGAGGAGCGAUUCGUCGUCCCCCUCCUGGGCCGGUCUGACGCCAUAUUCACCCAUGUCUUUUGCGUACUACUUGUUUCCUUGGCGGGUUCGCCCGCCAUUAGGACCCAACCAUAAACCUUUUUGUAAUUGCAAUCAGCGUCUGAACAAUGUAAUAAAUUACAACUUUCAACAACGGAUCUCUUGGUUCUGGCAUCGAUGAAGAACGCAGCGAAAUGCGAUAAGUAGUGUGAAUUGCAGAAUUCAGUGAAUCAUCGAAUCUUUGAACGCACAUUGCGCCCUUUGGUAUUCCAAAGGGCAUGCCUGUUCGAGCGUCAUUUGUACCCUCAAGCUUUGCUUGGUGUUGGGCGUUUUGUCUUGGGUCCGUCCCGAGACUCGCCUUAAAAUCAUUGGCAGCCGGCCUACUGGUUUCGGAGCGCAGCACAUUUUUUGCGCCCUGGUCCAGUGGUCCAGCGUCCAUGAAGCGAAUAUUUUUUUCAAUUUGACCUCGGAUCAGGUAGGGAUACCCGCUGAACUUAA